ACGAAGUCGGUGAGCCUUUCUGCAGCAGCAAUUACCCCGACUAAAUCGGCGACAUUCCUUCGAUGUAGUUCUUGUUGCGCCCAUGACUUUAAACCAUCGAGGAAGCUGAACAAUUUAUCCUUCUCGGACAUAUCCUGGAUGUCCAGCAUUAGUGCAGAAAAUUGCUUCACAUAGUCUCGGAUGGAAGUAUUUUGGCGGAGUUGUCUCAACUUCCUUCUUGCGACGAACUCGGUGUUCUCCGGUAGGAACUGAGUUCUCAACUCCCGCUUCAAGUCCUCCUAUGUGUCGACUCGACACCGACCUUAUUGGAUCUCCUCCCAACGGGUUCGCCACCAAAGUUUUGC
rnacentral:lncRNA from 1 species